UGUCUACCUGUCUGUCUGUCUGUCUGUCUGUCUCUCUCUCUCUAAGGAUGCACACCUACUUGGUAUGUUGGCCAAGGUCUAGCGAUAGAACUGAACUUCUUUACUAGUGGCAGAUCUCUGGAGGAGUGGAACUCCAAGAUUCCACAGGCUGUCAGGGGGAUUUUCCAAAAUCCCUAGUGGAUUUAUGAAAUUAUGGAUUCGCUGAAUAUGG